AAAUUGCUCAAUUAUAAAUUGCACAACUCCGCGAGCCCGGCUCCUUUUCCAUUUUCCGAGCUUUUCCGCGUCUCAGCGGUUGCCCAAUGUGGAAAUUAGCAUUUUGGCAAUGCCUUGGCAGCAAACUGCUGUCAUGUAAGCGACUAAUUAACAUGUCACUCAGUUGCAGCAGCAACUGCACCACAGCAACACAUUGCCACUGCGAUGGCCACAUCACCAACAUCGGGGUUUUCCUCUUUCGUCUCCACUUAUUGACCAUUCACUAAAUUUACGCAUUAGGCUGAAGUUGAAUGGAACUAGAAGCAGUGGCUUCCAGACCCCUCAACCCCACAAAAAAAAACCCCGUUUCUUAGCAACCUGUUGCUUCGUUUGCUACGAAAAUCUCUCACGAAGUUGCCAAAGCGAAGCAAAAAUAAAAUCGCCG
ensembl:ncRNA lncRNA:CR44798 long non-coding RNA:CR44798